rnacentral:lncRNA from 1 species
GCCCAACGACGCCCCCAUUUCGGAGCUCCUCGCGAUUCCAAUCCCCGCACGCCUCCUCCGCCUCCGCGGCCGGCUCGCGCAGGGUUAGGGUUUGCUCUGCUCCCCAUCUCGCCCUGUGCUGUUUUUCUUUCCUGUGAGAUUUGGUAGGGAAGGCUUGAUCUGUUUCUUCCGGGGCCUGAUUCGGCGUCCCUUGAUCGUUCUGCGCGUUUUUCUUGUGAUUUUUUGGGGUGUCGAUUCGUUGGUGCGGGGGAUUCCACGGGCCGUGGAAUCGCGAAGGGAACGGGCGCUUCUUGAUUCGGUCUUCGAUUGGUGGUUUCUUCUGUUCAGGUGGAAGUCCUUUUGGGUGGGGAAAUGAAAACGCGUUCUUGUUUUUUUUUCUUAUUAUUUUUUUAAAUAAAAAUUGUAUGAAGGUUGUUUCACUUGGCCAAAUGAUUAGGCUUUACCUGUCUUUUUUUGUCUGAUUUUUUAAAGUUCGUAGCGCUGCUAAAUGUUACUAGUGAUUCAAGUAAUUUUUUCCGUGGAAAUCGUGCGUAUUUAGUUGCAAGCUGUGGAUUAGUUAAAUUACUUGGCAGAUUUGGUUUAUACUGUCCUCGAUUUACAUCACCAUGGUUUUUUUACAGAGAUUUGAAUUGAUAUACCCUAAUUCGUUUAGGAAUACCGUUUUGAUUUGUAUUACACAGCGUGUUUUGUGAUAGUGACUUCCGCGAUGCUCUCCCUAAAUAUUAGGAUCUUGUUUUGUGAUAUUUGCUGAAGUGACAAAUCGUGUGGUUAUUUACAUCGAUUGUUUAAUGUGCAGCUUAUAGUAGUCAUGGAACACAAGGAGGCGGGCUGCCAGCAACCCGAGGGCCCAAUCCUAUGCAUCAACAACUGUGGCUUCUUUGGCAGUGCGGCCACCAUGAACAUGUGCUCCAAGUGCCACAAGGAGAUGAUAAUGAAGCAGGAGCAGGCCCAGCUAGCUGCCUCCUCCAUCGAUAGCAUUGUUAACGGUGGUGAUGGUGGGAAAGGGCCUGUCAUAGCUGCAACCGCCGCGGUGGCGGUUGCUCAAGUUGAGGAGAAGGCAAUUGUUGUGCAGCCUCCACUUGUAGCUGAAACCAGUGAGGCUGCUGCUGUAAUCCCCAAGGCCAAGGAAGGCCCGAACCGGUGCGCAACCUGUAGGAAGCGGGUUGGCCUGACGGGAUUCAACUGCCGAUGCGGUAACAUGUACUGUGCGGUGCACCGUUACUCCGACAAACAUGAAUGCCACUUUGACUAUCGGACUGCAGCUAGGGAUGCGAUUGCCAAGGCCAAUCCUGUGGUGAAGGCGGAGAAGCUCGACAAGAUCUGAGAGGGGCAAUGGGGAGGGGGAUGGGUUGUGAUCUGCAAGAUUCAAUCAUGCAUCUUUGCUGCUUUAUCAUUGAACUUCCCAUUCUUGUUUGCUGCCACAUCCCUGAGUUGUUCAACACUGAGAU